AAGGCCUUAGCUUAAUUAAAGUGUUUGAGUUGCAUUCAGAAGAUAUGGGAUAAGGUCCUAUAGGUCUUA
rnacentral:tRNA from 1 species